rnacentral:misc_RNA from 1 species
CUUCUGGAUUUCUGUCCAUUUAUUUGAUAAGGGAUCAUAGAUUUCUCCAGAAUCCAGAGGCUCAUCCCAAGAUCCGAGACCUCCAAUAGCAAUCAAUACAAAACUUUUACAACCCUUAGCAUUUCGCUGAUCAUUUUUUUGUCUAAUGAACUUGUGUGACUUUCUGCUAUGUAACAAUGAUGUUUCAUCUUCAUCAAAAGCAUUUCUGUACUGACGUC